AAGAGAUGGCAGAAUGAUGGAGGAACCUUAGGAAUUUGAAAAUAAAAAAAUAACAAAAUACAAUAAAUUCAGCCCCAUUAUCCCCAAAUCCCUCAAAUUUCUUAUAAAACUGUCCAACCACUCCCACUAUCGAAAUCCCUAAAUUUUCUCUCCACACUUCCCACUACACCUCUACCACAUUGGCAUUUCAGUUCAGUUCAAAC
rnacentral:lncRNA from 1 species